rnacentral:rRNA from 1 species
GAUGAACGCUGGCGGCGUGCCUAACACAUGCAAGUCGAACGGAGAUUACGGACGGAAGUUUUCGGAUGGAAGACUGUAAUUCUUAGUGGCGGACGGGUGAGUAACGCGUGGGCAACCUGCCCUAUACAGGGGGAUAGCAGCUGGAAACGGCUGGUAAGACCGCAUAAGUCGGUUAAAUCGCAUGAUUUGAUCGGGAAAUGAGCAAUCAGGUAUAGGAUGGGCCCGCGUCCGAUUAGCCAGUUGGCAGGGUAAAAGCCCACCAAAGCGACGAUCGGUAGCCGGACUGAGAGGUCGGACGGCCACAUUGGGACUGAGACACGGCCCAAACUCCUACGGGAGGCAGCAGUGGGGGAUAUUGCACAAUGGAGGAAACUCUGAUGCAGCGACGCCGCGUGAGUGAAGAAGUAUUUCGGUAUGUAAAGCUCUAUCAGCAGGGAAGAUGAUGACGGUACCUGACUAAGAAGCCCCGGCUAACUACGUG